ACGAUUUGAUGAUUCUGGAGA
rnacentral:miRNA from 1 species